ACCAGUGGUACCACUGGUAAGAUAUGAUUAUGGAUCGUGAAAGUAAGUAUACCAUCCGUGAACCAAGGGUCAUGGCAGUUGGGGUACCCUUGAAAAUAAUGUCGAAUGGUACCAGUGGUACCACUGGUAAGAUAGGGUUACGGAUCGUGAAAGUAAGUUUACCAUCCGUGAUCCAAGGGUCAUGGCAGUUGGGGUACCUUUGAAAAUAAUGUCGAAUGGUACCAG